GUAAAAAUUUAUUAUUUUUUUUUGUUUUUUUUAAUUUUAAUAAAAAUAUUUUGUUUUUUAGUAUUUUUGAAUUAAUAUUUUUUAUUUAUAGUUAAUUUUACUGUGAAGGAUUAUUUUGUUUUUAAGUUAAAGUAUUUUUUGUUUGAAGUACCUUUUGCAUCAGGGUUUAUUAAAAUAAUAAAAUUAUUUUUUUUUCUCGAAAUUUUAAGACUUAAGGUUAAAUGUUUUUUUUUGUAACAAAAAAAUUUAUAAUUUUUCCUUAGAGGUUAUAUGCUUUUCAUUUAAAAUAAUAUCUAGUUCAUUAAUACUUGAAUUUAAUUCAUUUUUAAUAUUGCUUUUUUUUAAUUUUAUUAAUUAAAGUUUAUUAAUUAAAGAUUUAUGGGGAUAAGCUCAUAUUUUUUGUUAAAAAGUCUUUUUGAUUAAAUUCUUUGUAGGAUUAAUAAUUUCCAUCUUUAUUUUGUUAUAAUUAUUUUUUUAUUUAAAUGAUUUUUUUCCUUUUAAUUUUUUAUUAAUGUUUUAUAUAUAAUUUUUUGUUUUAAUUAAUAAUGAUAAAAUUAGUAAUUUUUAUAAUUUAAAAAUAGUAAUUCGGCAAAUUUUAUUUUCACCUGUUUAACAAAAACAUGGUCUUUUGAUUUUAAUUUAAGAUCAGGCCUGCCCAUUGAUUUUUUUUAAUUAAAAGGCUGCGGUAUUUUGACUGUGCAAAGGUAGCAUAAUCAUUUGUCUUUUAAUUGAAGGCUAGUAUGAAUGGUUUGAUGAAAAAUAAACUUUCUUUUUUUAAUUAUUUUGAAUUUAAUCUUUUAGUUAAAAAGCUAAAAUUUUUUUAUAGGACGAGAAGACCCUAUAGAAGUUUACUUUAUUUAUUAAUUAUUGUUUUUUGUUUAUUAAACUAUUUUUUAGAAUGUAAAGUUUUGUUGGGGUGACAUUAAAAUUUAUUUAACUUUUAAUAUUUUUUUCAUUAAUUUAUGUUUUUUUGAUCCAAAAUUUUUGAUUAUAAGAUUAACUUACCUUAGGGAUAACAGCGUAAUUUUUUCGGAGAGUUCUUAUCGAUGAAAAAGUUUGCGACCUCGAUGUUGAAUUAAGAUAAGAUUUGGGUGUAGAAUUUCAUUUUUCUUGGUCUGUUCGACCAUUAAAUUCUUACAUGAUUUGAGUUCAGACCGGCGUGAGCCAGGUCGGUUUCUAUCCUUAUUUUUUGUAAAUUAGUACGAAAGGACCAUUUACAUUAAUUAAAUUAUUUAAUUUUG
rnacentral:rRNA from 1 species